AUUGAACGCUGGCGGCAGGCCUAACACAUGCAAGUCGAACGAGUGGCGGACGGGUGAGUAAUGUCUGGGAAACUGCCUGAUGGAGGGGGAUAACUACUGGAAACGGUAGCUAAUACCGCAUACCAUCAGAUGUGCCCAGAUGGGAUUAGCUAGUUGGUGGGGUACCGGCUCACCAAGGCGACGAUCCCUAGCUGGUCUGAGAGGAUGACCAUCCAGACUGGAGCUGAGACACAGUCCAUAGUCCUACGGGAGGCAGCAGGGUGGAAUAUUGCACAAUGGGCGGAAGCCUGAUGCAGCCAUGCCGCGUGUAUUGAGAAUGCCUUCGGGUUAUAAAGUACUUUCAGCGGGGAGGCGCUACCCGCAGAAGAAGCACCGGAUAACUCCGUGCCAGCAGCCGCGGUAAUAC
rnacentral:rRNA from 1 species